CCUACGGGAGGCAGCAGUGGGGAAUAUUGGACAAUGGGGGCAACCCUGAUCCAGCAAUUCUGUGUGCACGAAGAAGGUUUUCGGAUUGUAAAGUGCUUUCAGCAGGGAAGAAGAAAGUGACGGUACCUGCAGAAGAAGCGACGGCUAAAUACGUGCCAGCAGCCGCGGUAAUACGUAUGUCGCAAGCGUUAUCCGGAAUUAUUGGGCAUAAAGGGCAUCUAGGCGGCCCUGUAAGUCUAGGGUGAAAACCUGCGGCUCAACCGCAGGCCUGCCCCGGAAACUACAGGGCUAGAGUAUCGGAGAGGUGGACGGAACUGCACGAGUAGAGGUGAAAUUCGUAGAUAUGUGCAGGAAUGCCGAUGAUGAAGAUAGUUCACUGGACGGUAACUGACGCUGAAGUGCGAAAGCUAGGGGAGCAAACAGGAUUAGAUACCCUGGUAGUCCUAGCUGUAAACGAUGAUUACUGGGUGUGGGCAUGAAGAGUGUCCGUGCCGAAGCAAAUGCGAUAAGUAAUCCGCCUGGGGAGUACGGCCGCAAGGUUGAAACUCAAAGGAAUUGAGG
rnacentral:rRNA from 1 species